AAAUACCUAGUAUAGUGUACGAAAAAACAGCCUGUAUCACAUUAAAAGCAAUCAAGAGAAAUUAAAAUCAGAGUUAGGAUUAAUGAGUAACAUUUAUCCCAGCACCUUUCAAGAUUAUACACAGCUCCGUACUCAGUUUGUGGACAGCCUGAGCUCAUUUGGCCUUGUGUCAAAAGAAAGUGUGAAAACAGAAAAACUGAACACAUCCCUUCAACACAAAAGGAAUUUAAUAAUUGAAGAUUUGUGCAAGUCAAUUAAACUAUACAUGCUUGGAAAUUGCCACAUGGGACCAUCUUGAAUGAACAGUUUAUGCAAACAGAAAACAUGUUCAGGAAGAAUGUUAAAAUUUUAACACUUGUAAAUAGAAAGAAGAUGACAUUUGCCUGUCUUUGUAAUUUAUGAGGGUAUUUGCAAAUAAGCAUCAAAACAAGAAGAAAAUAUUAAAAAGACAUUUUGUGCCAGGACAUCAUGGUAGUGCUGGAUUGCCUAUCCAACUCUGUAUAAAGGUUUUUCAAACAAUUUGUGAAGAAUGUUAGUAUCUUCAGAGUCUUCUGCAUCAGCAAAGAGUAGUGCAUUAACUAAUGGAAAAGAGAAGAUAAAAUUUCUGGUGCUCAUGAUGACUAGUCCGAACCUGUGAACUUCUGAGAAAAUUUACAGUUCUGAAAACUAGAGGUGGUUACCGAAUUGAAUAGCCGUUGGUUCUACAGCCACUAUAAUGAUCUGAAAAGUUGAAUGUGUUGCAUGAACACUUUCAGGAAUCAUAAUAGAACUCAGCUAAUUAGAUAGAGACUGGAAUGUUGAUUUGAAGACAAUUACUUUAUAAAGAUUUUCUCAUUGCUGCUUUUGCAUUAUCCCAAGAAGUGGAGACACUACUACAUGGAUAAGAACUGUAUGAUUGAAUUGACUUUGGAAUCAUCUCAGUAUUGUCAUAAAAUAUUCACUGUAUGUAGUCAAUUUUUUCCUCAGAGUUGAUGGUUAUAAAUACUUGUCAAGUUGGAAAAAUUCACUUUUACUUUUAUUUGCAUCACACUUACUAGAUUAGAGACUAGAUUGCUUUAAAUUGAGUCUUCAUUUACAACUUCAAGGUAUGUCUUUCUCUUUGUAACUAAAUGACUUCGUACCUGUGCAUUCCAUAUAUUUCACUAGUAUAAUGUCUGGUAACAUCAAGUCAAUAUGUUGGUAUAUGAAAUUCAUUUUCAGAUCUUUACCCAGUAGUCUCCAUUAAAUUUCUAAAAUGGUGAAGUCCUUACUAUCAUUUGAUCAUG
rnacentral:lncRNA from 1 species